rnacentral:rRNA from 1 species
AAGCGUAAUAGCUCACUGGUCGAGUCCUUCUGCGCGGAAGAUGUAACGGGGCUAAACCAUGCACCGAAGCUGCGGCAGCGACACUAUGUGUUGUUGGGUAGGGGAGCGUUCUGUAAGCCUGUGAAGGUGUGCUGUGAGGCAUGCUGGAGGUAUCAGAAGUGCGAAUGCUGACAUAAGUAACGAUAAAGCGGGUGAAAAGCCCGCUCGCCGGAAGACCAAGGGUUCCUGUCCAACGUUAAUCGGGGCAGGGUGAGUCGACCCCUAAGGCGAGGCCGAAAGGCGUAGUCGAUGGGAAACAGGUUAAUAUUCCUGUACUUGGUGUUACUGCGAAGGGGGGACGGAGAAGGCUAUGUUGGCCGGGCGACGGUUGUCCCGGUUUAAGCGUGUAGGCUGGUUUUCCAGGCAAAUCCGGAAAAUCAAGGCUGAGGCGUGAUGACGAGGCACUACGGUGCUGAAGCAACAAAUGCCCUGCUUCCAGGAAAAGCCUCUAAGCAUCAGGUAACAUCAAAUCGUACCCCAAACCGACACAGGUGGUCAGGUAGAGAAUACCAAGGCGCUUGAGAGAACUCGGGUGAAGGAACUAGGCAAAAUGGUGCCGUAACUUCGGGAGAAGGCACGCUGAUAUGUAGGUGAAGUCCCUCGCGGAUGGAGCUGAAAUCAGUCGAAGAUACCAGCUGGCUGCAACUGUUUAUUAAAAACACAGCACUGUGCAAACACGAAAGUGGACGUAUACGGUGUGACGCCUGCCCGGUGCCGGAAGGUUAAUUGAUGGGGUCAGCGCAAGCGAAGCUCUUGAUCGAAGCCCCGGUAAACGGCGGCCGUAACUAUAACGGUCCUAAGGUAGCGAAAUUCCUUGUCGGGUAAGUUCCGACCUGCACGAAUGGCGUAAUGAUGGCCAGGCUGUCUCCACCCGAGACUCAGUGAAAUUGAACUCGCUGUGAAGAUGCAGUGUACCCGCGGCAAGACGGAAAGACCCCGUGAACCUUUACUAUAGCUUGACACUGAACAUUGAGCCUUGAUGUGUAGGAUAGGUGGGAGGCUUUGAAGUGUGGACGCCAGUCUGCAUGGAGCCGACCUUGAAAUACCACCCUUUAAUGUUUGAUGUUCUAACGUGGACCCGUGAUCCGGGUUGCGGACAGUGUCUGGUGGGUAGUUUGACUGGGGCGGUCUCCUCCUAAAGAGUAACGGAGGAGCACGAAGGUUGGCUAAUCCUGGUCGGACAUCAGGAGGUUAGUGCAAUGGCAUAAGCCAGCUUGACUGCGAGCGUGACGGCGCGAGCAGGUGCGAAAGCAGGUCAUAGUGAUCCGGUGGUUCUGAAUGGAAGGGCCAUCGCUCAACGGAUAAAAGGUACUCCGGGGAUAACAGGCUGAUACCGCCCAAGAGUUCAUAUCGACGGCGGUGUUUGGCAC